UACGUAGGGUGCGAGCGUUAAUCGGAAUUACUGGGCGUAAAGGGCGCGUAGGCGGUCUUGCAAGUCCCGUGUGAAAUCCCUCGGCUCAACUGAGGAACUGCACGGGAAACUGCUUGGCUUGAGUUCGGGAGAGGGAAGCGGAAUUCCGGGUGUAGCGGUGAAAUGCGUAGAUAUCCGGAGGAACACCGGUGGCGAAGGCGGCUUCCUGGACCGACACUGACGCUGAGGCGCGAAAGCUAGGGGAGCAAACGGG
rnacentral:rRNA from 1 species